rnacentral:misc_RNA from 1 species
UCAAACUUGGUCAUUUAGAGGAAGUAAAAGUCGUAACAAGGUUUCCGUAGGUGAACCUGCGGAAGGAUCAUUAAUGAGUUUUGAAGGUGUGGGGCCUGCUGCUGGCGUGGAAGCGCGCAUGUGCACGGCUUCACACUCAAUCCAUGACCACCUGUGCACCUUUGCAAGGCGAAGUAGGCCUCUCACGCCCUUUGAAGUGUUCGGUUGUCAGUGUGACGAGCGUGCGUGAGCACUAGUAGCCAGGUGCGCCUUUCACUUGAAGGGGGGGUUUGGUUGAAAGCUUUGAUCUUUAUCGACCUCUUUUGUAUGUCCUGUGAAUGUAGUGCUCGUGGGCAAAAUGAAUACAACUUUCAACAAUGGAUCUCUUGGCUCUCGCAUCGAUGAAGAACGCAGC